rnacentral:lncRNA from 1 species
GUUUGGACUUGCUGUCUAAUGACUUCUUUAAUAUUCCAUUCCAUCUGAGUCAGGUAUGCCUUGAGUUCUUUAUCUGUCCAUUUUUCUGAUAUCUCUAGGUUCUCCUGUAAAUUUGAGUUAUCCUGCAUCCUUUUUUCCCUUGUUUUUUCAUGGUGGUCACGUUACUUUCCAACUCUGUUUGACUGCUGUUUCUGUUUUCUCCUAUAAAUUUGUUUUGGAUUUGUAUAGCUCCAAGAUCUCUCCUUUGUGUUGGGAGAGAAUUUUUAGAGAUGUUGGAUUUAAUUGUGAUUUAAGGUAAAUUCAUUAGUUUCAUUAAAGGCCUACAGAUUUUGAUGGCAUAUAGAGAAUUGAGGUUUGAACUUAGGAUUUUAUGUUAAGGUCGGGAGAUAUGAUGGUAUGGAGGUUAGUAUAUCUUAGCUUCUUUGGGGGUUGCUCAAAUGCAGGCGGAUAUUAACAAGAGAAUAGACAGGAGUACUUGGGGGUAGUUAAGGGCUUAGGCGGACUAUAGACCGACUCGUAAUAUUCAUCUAUUUGCAUUUAGUAAAUUACACGUAAUCGGAGUGAUCAUGCUUGGGAGGAAAGAUAGGGAAAAGGUAAGGAAGCAAACCAAGAAAGAGAGAGGGAGAGAAGAAAGAAAGAGAAAAAAAAUAGAAAAGAAAAAGAAGAAAUGAUAAAAAAUAAUAAUAAAAUAAAAAUUACAAUUAAAAAAAUGUACUGUUAGGCUUCUAUUUUCUUCGCUUCCAGUAGGUGGAGCUGUGCUUUCCUGACCAAGAUUUUGCCCUCAGGCUGUAGGAAACAAUCCGUAUGAGGCCGCUCCCUCCUCCCCCACCUGGUGUCUCUCCAAUCCAGUUCACUUAGGGUUGUUCUUGGCCUCUAGUUUCCUCGCUUCUCCCGCCAGCUAGGCCUUCCCCAGUGUGGUACCUCUCCACAGUUC